AGUUGGGCACUCUAAGUUGACUGCCGGUGACAAACCGGAGGAAGGUGGGGAUGACGUCAAAUCAUCAUGCCCCUUAUGACCUGGGCUACACACGUACUACAAUGGCCGGUACAACGGGAGGCGAAGUCGCGAGAUGGAGCGAAUCCUUAGAAGCCGGUCUCAGUUCGGAUUGCAGGCUGCAACUCGCCUGCAUGAAGUCGGAAUUGCUAGUAAUCGCGGAUCAGCAUGCCGCGGUGAAUACGUUCCC
rnacentral:rRNA from 1 species